rnacentral:misc_RNA from 1 species
UCUCCGUUGGUAAACCAGCGGAGGGAUCAUUACAGGACUCGCAAGACUCCUACAACCCUGUGAACUUAACUAUAAGCACGUUGCUUCGGCGGGUGUCUCGGAGGGGGUUCUCCCUCCCCGAGACGCUAAACCCGCCGGCAGCCUACUAUACUCUGUCUCUUUGCGUUGGCAUCUCGAGUACAAUCAAACAAGUUAAAACUUUCAACAACGGAUCUCUUGGUUCUG